rnacentral:rRNA from 1 species
GACAGAGGGUGCAAGCGUUGUUCGGAAUUAUUGGGCGUAAAGCGCACGUAGGCGGUCGUGUAAGUCGGAUGUGAAAGCCCAGGGCUCAACCCUGGAAGUGCAUUCGAAACUGCACGACUUGAAUCCUGAAGAGGGUGGUGGAAUUCCUGGUGUAGAGGUGAAAUUCGUAGAUAUCAGGAGGAACACCGGUGGCGAAGGCGACCACCUGGGCAGAGAUUGACGCUGAGGUGCGAAAGCGUGGGGAGCAAACAGG